rnacentral:rRNA from 1 species
UACAGAGGGUGCAAACGUUGUUCGGAAUUACUGGGCGUAAAGCGCGUGUAGGCGGCCCUGCAAGUCGGAUGUGAAAUCCCACGGCUCAACCGUGGAAGUGCAUUCGAAACUGCAGGGCUAGAGUCCUGGAGAGGAAGGUGGAAUGCUUGGUGUAGAGGUGAAAUUCGUAGAUAUCAAGCGGAACACCGGUGGCGAAGGCGGCCUUCUGGACAGUGACUGACGCUGAGACGCGAAAGCGUGGGGAGCAAACAGG